CAAAUACUCCCUCCGUCCGGAAAUACUUGUCAUCAAAAUGGAUAAAAGGAAAUGUAUCUAGAUGUAUUUUAGUUUUAGAUACAUCUAUUUUUAUCCAUUUUGAUGACAAGUAUUUUCGGACAGAGGGAGUAGCAA
rnacentral:pre_miRNA from 1 species